rnacentral:siRNA from 1 species
UGAUUGGAGUUCCAAUUGCCA